UAACCCUGAGACCCGACAGACUUUGCCAAUCAUAUCAGAGUUUCAGACAACAUUCUACGGGAUUCUCAUAGAACACAAGAUUAAUUCUAAUCAGAAUUAAUCAAGUCAACAAUUUUUGGGAUGUGCACAGGCUGUGAAAAUCAGGACAACCAGCUAAUUAACGUUGGACAGAAAAAUAGCGGACUGAGCAAUAUCUGUGUCUUGUCAGCUGGUUGUUUUGCUCUUUGAUGGCCUUAAACUCUGAGUGAUAAGGAAGUGAGCGGGUAGAAGAAGGAAGUGUGGCAGGACCCAGAGGGAAGGAAUUUAUUCUUUCGAAAGAAAGAAGAGAAGCGGAACCACAAGCAGGAGACAGAGGGCUUUCAUCUGGGGCUACCUGGCAUUCAAACAACUGUCCUGUUGGAGAAUACCUUUUAGAGGCGGGAGAGCAUGGCUGUGUCUGCUGGCUGGUAGCAGUGGAAGUGGAGAGAAGUGGAUGGCUUGAAGGACCAUUUUGAAGGAGUGAGUAGGGUUGCACGGAUAAUUUGAUGUGGGAUGUGGUCCAGGAUGACACCUCGAUUUCUGACUUAGGCAUCUGGGCAAAGGGCAGCCAUGUUUGCAGAGAAAGGAACACGUUAGCAGGAGUGGAUUUGAGAGGGAGCUGACGAACCACACCUUGUGCUCCCAGAAGUCACACAGUCAGGAAUAUCCUGGCCCUUUGGCUCUUCCGCAGCCCUGAGGCCUUUGUGUGAGAGGGUGGGCAGACUGGGUAUCUUUUCAGUUGUGCCCGUGGCGUGUCGAAGUUCCCAGACCAAGGGUCAAACCUGCACCACAGCAGCCACUUGAGCCACGACAGUGGCAACACCAGAUCCUUAACCCAUUGCACCACAAGGGAACUCCUAGACAAGAUAUCUUCAGUGUGACAGAGCCCUUGGCUAUGCCUCUGGAUGCUGGGAUGCUUCAGGGGCCGGUGUAACUCAGCCUCACAUCCCUACAUCCAUCUUUUCUCUUAUUGCUAAGACAGCUCCGGAAGGCAAAUUGGAGAUCUGGGACCCACAUACCUAAAAUUAUAAAGGAAAAGUAGAGAACCAGAGGAAGCUUCAAGACUAGAGGCCAGUUUCCCACCAGCAUUUUGCCUUGUUCAGUGACACUUGCCCACACUCUCCCUGGUUUUCAGAGACCAACUGCAGGCUCCACUGCUGCAGCUGAUGUCAGCGCCUCCAGGCCUUGAGGCUGAAUAAAUGGAACUAGAAGGAGGAAAAAAAAUAGAGCUCUCUGAGGACUGGGGGCAGCAGGGAGCAUCCCACUGAGUGGCAGAUGAGGGAGCGG
rnacentral:lncRNA from 1 species